rnacentral:rRNA from 1 species
AACGAACGCUGGCGGCAGGCCUAACACAUGCAAGUCGAACGCCGUAGCGAUACGGAGUGGCAGACGGGUGAGCAACGCGUGGGAACAUACCCCUCGGUUCGGAAUAACUCAGGGAAACUUGAGCUAAUACCGGAUAAGUCCGAGGUUUUAAUCGACCUUGGAGAAAGAUUUAUCGCCGGAGGAUUGGCCCGCGUCUGAUUAGCUUGUUGGUGAGGUAAUGGCUCACCAAGGCGACGAUCAGUAGCUGGUCUGAGAGGAUGAUCAGCCACAUUGGGACUGAGACACGGCCCAAACUCCUACGGGAGGCAGCAGUGGGGAAUAUUGGACAAUGGGCGAAAGCCCGAUCCAGCCAUGCCGCGUGAGUGAUGAAGGCCUUC